UCCCGAUUAGCUCAGUUGGUAGAGCGUUCGACUGUUAAUCGAAAUGUCGCCGGUUCGAGUCCAGCAUCGGGAGCCA
rnacentral:tRNA from 1 species